CAGAGGGUGCAAGUGUUGUUCGGAAUUAUUGGGCGUAAAGGGUGCGUAGGCGGUCUAGUAAGUCAGGUGUGAAAGCCCUGGGCUUAACCCAGGAAUUGCAUUUGAAACUGCUAGGCUAGAGUGCGAAAGAGGAGAGCGGAAUUCCCGGUGUAGAGGUGAAAUUCGUAGAUAUCGGGAGGAACACCAGUGGCGUAAGCGGCUCUCUGGGUCGACACUGACGCUCAGUGCACGAAAGCGUGGGGAGCAAACAGGAUUAGAUACCCUGGUAGUCCACGCUGUAAACGAUGAGUACUAGAUGUCGGAGGUUUUGACCCCUUCGGUAUCGCAGCUAACGCAAUAAGUACUCCGCCUGGGAAGUACGGCCGCAAGGCUA
rnacentral:rRNA from 1 species